GGCGGGGCAGAUCUGCCCUCUGAAUGGGCAGCCCAAGGUCUGUGGGAAAAGCGGAGAGCACCCGCCGACCUUCCCUUCACCUGAGUGAAGGGGUCCUUCCGUUGUUGCCAUCGCCAUCCUCUGCCGGCGCCAGACCCCAGCUUCCGUGAACUUUGGAUGUGGUCUCAACACUAGUGACUGCAGAGAACCCCAGGCAUUCAGCACCAGUGUGGGGCUGCUAAGGCAGCCACAGAGUCUUCCAGUGUCCUACGCUGUACUCUGCAUGUGGAAAUGAGGCUGUAUUCCGAGAGAGAUUCCCAAGGAUGAGGGAAAUCGGAGGUGGGGUCAGUGUGGUCUAGCAGGCCAUUGGCUGGGCUGCACCACGAAGCCCCUGGGAUGUACAGCCUGGCAGCUGUACACUUCCUCCUGGAGAAGCCUCAGUGGUGGAGACUGUGAUGCAGAGGUCUGCAGAGGCAGAUGGUUGCGUUUCCUGACAGGAGAGAAGCUCUCCUGCACUUUAUCUCUUCCUUCCUGCCCAGUUAUAAAUAUAACCGCUGUUCAGCCAGCAUGACCUGUUAGCUUUUAUUACAGAGCUGGAGUACAAGUGAUUAGUCUCGGGGUUGGGGGUAGGGCUGGCAAUGAACUGUGUUUUAGGGUGAUAAGAACUGGUGUAUUCUUUCAAAAUAC
rnacentral:lncRNA from 1 species